rnacentral:rRNA from 1 species
GCGCAGCAGUCGAGAAUUUUUCUCAAUGGGGGAAACCCUGAAGGAGCGACGCCGCGUGGAGGAUGAAGGCUUUCGGGUUGUAAACUCCUGUCAUUUGAGAACAAGUGUAGCCAAAUAACUACUGGCUACUUGAUAGUAUCAGAAGAGGAAGGGACGGCUAACUCUGUGCCAGCAGCCGCGGUAAUACAGAGGUCCCAAGCGUUGUUCGGAUUCAUUGGGCGUAAAGGGUGCGUAGGUGGCGCCGUCAGUGGGGUGUGAAAUUUCGGAGCUUAACUCCGAAACUGCAUUCCAUACUGCGGUGCUUGAGGACUGGAGAGGAGACUGGAAUUCAUGGUGUAGCAGUGAAAUGCGUAGAGAUCAUGAGGAAGACCAGUGGCGAAGGCGGGUCUCUGGACAGUUCCUGACACUGAGGCACGAAGGCUAGGGGAGCGAACGGGAUUAGAUACCCCGGUAGU